rnacentral:rRNA from 1 species
AGUGAACGCUGGCGGUAGGCCUAACACAUGCAAGUCGAACGGCAGCACAGAGGAGCUUGCUCCUUGGGUGGCGAGUGGCGGACGGGUGAGGAAUACAUCGGAAUCUACUCUGUCGUGGGGGAUAACGUAGGGAAACUUACGCUAAUACCGCAUACGACCUACGGGUGAAAGCAGGGGACCUUCGGGCCUUGCGCGAUUGAAUGAGCCGAUGUCGGAUUAGCUAGUUGGCGGGGUAAAGGCCCACCAAGGCGACGAUCCGUAGCUGGUCUGAGAGGAGGAUCAGCCACACUGGAACUGAGACACGGUCCAGACUCCUACGGGAGGCAGCAGUGGGGAAUAUUGGACAAUGGGCGCAAGCCUGAUCCAGCCAUACCGCGUGGGUGAAGAAGGCCUUCGGGUUGUAAAGCCCUUUUGUUGGGAAGGAAAUCCAGCUGGCUAAUACCCGGUUGGGAUGACGGUACCCAAAGAAUAAGCACCGGCUAACUUCGUGCCAGCAGCCGCGGUAA